GUGCUUGCUUCAGCAGCACGUGUACUAAACAACACAGAGGAGAUUGGCACAGCCCCUGAGCAAGGACUACACACAAACUCGUGAACUGUUUCACAAUUUU
ensembl:snRNA U6 U6 spliceosomal RNA